GGUUUCGUGGGUAUCAUAGUUGGUUAUCACACCAGUCUAACACACUGGUGGUCCCCGGUUCGAGCCCGGGCGAAAUCA